AGCCACUAGUUUACCAGUUGUCUGACAAGGCAAUGCUGGGCAGCCACGCUUUAAGGGAUAAAUGCUGAAAGCAUCUAAGCAUGAAGCCCACCCUAAGACGAGGCAUCAUAGAACUCGAAUAAAAGAUUCGUUUGAUAGGGCUAGGGUGUAAG
rnacentral:rRNA from 1 species